UAGGGAAUCUUCCGCAAUGGACGCAAGUCUGACGGAGCGACGCCGCGUGAGUGAUGAAGGUCUUCGGAUCGUAAAACUCUGUUGUCAGGGAAGAACAAGUGCCGUUCGAAUAGGGCGGUACCUUGACGGUACCUAACCAGAAAGCCCCGGCUAACUACGUGCCAGCAGCCGCGGUAAUACGUAGGGGGCAAGCGUUGUCCGGAAUUAUUGGGCGUAAAGCGCGCGCAGGCGGUCUCUUAAGUCUGAUGUGAAAUCUCGCAGCUUAACUGUGAGCGGUCAUUGGAAACUGAGGGACUUGAGGACAGGUGAGGAGAGUGGAAUUCCACGUGUAGCGGUGAAAUGCGUAGAGAUGUGGAGGAACACCAGUGGCGAAGGCGACUCUCUAGUCUGUAUCUGACGC
rnacentral:rRNA from 1 species